rnacentral:tRNA from 1 species
GCCGGGAUGGUGGAACUGGUAGACACGCUUGGCUUAGAACCAAGUGCCGUACGGUGUGCAGGUUCAAGUCCUGUUCCCGGUACCA